rnacentral:rRNA from 1 species
UACGAAGGGGGCUAGCGUUGCUCGGAAUCACUGGGCGUAAAGCGCACGUAGGCGGAUUUCUAAGUCAGGGGUGAAAUCCUGGAGCUCAACUCCAGAACUGCCUUUGAUACUGGGAAUCUCGAGUCCGGGAGAGGUGAGUGGAACUGCGAGUGUAGAGGUGAAAUUCGUAGAUAUUCGCAAGAACACCAGUGGCGAAGGUGGCUCACUGGCCCGGUACUGACGCUGAGGUGCGAAAGCGUGGGGAGCAAACAGG